GUGAGGAAUUUUCCGCAAUGGGCGAAAGCCUGACGGAGCAAUGCCGCGUGAAGGAUGAAGGCCUAUGGGUUGUAAACUUCUUUUCUCAGAAAAGAAUUAUGACGGUAUCUGAGGAAUAAGCAUCGGCUAACUCUGUGCCAGCAGCCGCGGUAUGACAGAGGAUGCAAGCGUUAUCCGGAAUGAUUGGGCGUAAAGCGUCUGUAGGUUGUUUAAAAAGUAUUCUGUCAAAGAUUAGGGCUUAACCCUAGAUAGGCAGAAUAAACUUUUAAGCUAGAGUUUGGUAGAGGCAGAGGGAAUUCCCGGUGGAGCGGUGAAAUGCGUAGAUAUCGGGAGGAACACCAAAGGCGAAGGCACUCUGCUGGGCCAAUACUAACACUGAGAGACGAAAGCGAGGGGAGCAAAUGGGAUUAGAUACCCCAGAAGUCC
rnacentral:rRNA from 1 species